rnacentral:lncRNA from 1 species
CACUUUAGCAGGGGUCUCCAACCACAGGGCCACAGAGCCGGAGCUGGAUCUACCAUGAAAGACUUCAGAGUCCAGGAAGAGAGACUGACUGGGCAACAUGUUAUUCAGGUCUUGCUCGGUUGUCCAGGCUGGAGUGUGGUGGUGCUAUCACAGCUGUCUGAAGUCUCAACCUCCCAGGCUCAAGCAAUCCUCCCACCUCAGCCUCCCAAGUUGCUGAGACUAUAGGUGCUUGCCUCUAUGCCCAACUCAUAUUUGGACUUUUUCUAUAUGUGGGUUCCAGAGGGAUGACUGCGAAACGUGAGAUGGGACCAUCUAGUCGCAGGAAAACAGGCUUAACACGGCCACUGAUUCUACAUUAUGCUCCUGCCUCCCAGUGGCCUCUUCAGGCCCAGAACUUUCUCCACUCAGCCUCUACAGACCAAGCUCAUGACUCACAAUGGCCUAUUUAGGCCCAUACCAUACCUCACGACAGUCUCCGCAGAUGAGGCUACUGCCUCACAACAGCCUCCACAGGCACAGCUCCAUCGUUACAAUGGCCUCUUUAGACCCAGCUCCUGCCUCCCAGCCUUCUCUCCAGGCCCUGAACUUUCUCAAGUCGACCUCACCAGGCCCAGCUCCUGCCACUCAUUGGCCUCCCAAGGGCCAGCUUUUGCCUCACGGCCACCUUCCAAGACCCAGCUUCUGUUUUACAGUGGCCUCUUGAGGCCCAUCUUCCAACUCCUGGCAGCCUGUACAGGCCCAGCUCCUGCCUUACAAUGGCCUCUUUAGUCCCAGCUCCUGCCUCUUUGCAGGAGGCCCAAAUGUCUGCAAGUCCAGGCCACAAAAUCCAGGGCCAAAAUGUCCACAAGUCAGCCUCUCAAGGCCUAGCUCCUGCCUUUCGUUGGCAUCUCUAGGCCCAGCUGCUGCCCCCAGGUGGCCUCUACAGGCUGUGCUCUUUUCUUCUGACUGUGUCUGGAGGUCCAACUCCUGCCUCAGAACAACCUCUUUUGGCUCAGCUCCUGCCCAGCUCCUACUGGCCUUUGUAGGCCCAAAACUGCCUCAAGUCAAGCUUUCCAGGCCCACCUUCUGCCUCCCAAUGGCCUGGACAGGCCCAGCUCCUGCGUGACAAUGGCCUCUCCAGGCCCAGCUUUUGCCUCACAGAGGCCUUCCCCAAACAAGGUCCUACCUGCCUCCCAGCAGCCUCAACAGGCCCAGAUCCUGCCUCACACUAAUCUCAUUAGGCCCAGGUCAUGCCUCAUGGUGGCCUCUCCAGGCCCAGCUCCUGCCCCCCGACAGGCUGUCUGUGCCAGAAACUUCCUCAAGUCGGCCUCUCCAGGCACAGCUCCUGCAUCCCAGCAGCUUCUCUAGACCGAGAACUUUCUCAAAUCUGCCAUUCCAGGCCCAAUUUGUGCCUUCUGUCAGCCUCUACAGGCUCAACGUCUGCCUCACAGCAGAUUUUCCCAGCCCAGCAUGUGCCUCACUGCAGCCCCCUAGGCCAAGCUCCUGCCUUUCAGCAGCCUCUACAGGCCCCACUCCUACCUCAAUGGCCUCUCUAGGGCAAGCUUAUGCCUCACAGUGGCCAUUCUGGCCCAGCUUUUGCCUUUUGGCAGCAUCUCCAGACCCAGAACUUCCUCAAGUGGGCCUGUCCAGGCCCAGCUCUUCCUCCCGGCUGCAUCUCCAGGCCCACCUCCUACCUCACAACAACCUCUUUCGGCUCAGCUCCUGCCCGGCUCCUGGCAGCCUUUAUAGGCCCAAAACUUUCUCACAUCAAGUUUUCUAGCACAACCUUCUGCCUCCCGGCAGCUUGAAUAGGCCCAGCUCCUGAAAGACAGUGGCCUCUCCAGGCUCAGCUCUUGCCUCACAGAGGUCAUCCCUGGCCAAGUUCAUGCCUGCCUCCCAGCAGGCUCAACAGGCCCAGCUCCUGCUCCUGACAGUCUCUCCAGGCCAAAAUCUUCCUCAAGUAGGCCUCUCUUCAGGCUGAUCUCUUGCCUCACACUGGCCUGUUUAGGCCCAGCUCAUGCUUCUUGGCAGCCUCUCCAGGCCCAGCUCCUGCAUCUUGGCCUCUCCAGGCCCAGCCUCUGCCUCCCGUCGGCCUCUACAGUCACAACAUCUGCCUCACAGCAGAUUCUUCAGGCCCAGUAUCUGCCUCACUGUGGACCCCCCAAGUCAAGCUCCCAACCUUUCAGCAGCUUAUACACACCCAGCUCCUGCCACCCAGUGGCCUCUUUAGGCCAAGCUGGUGCCUCACAAGGGCCUUUCCAGGCCCAACUUUUGUCUCAUGGCAACCUUCCCUGGCCAGAUUCCUGCCUGUCUCCCAGCAGCCUAGACAGGCCCAGUCUUGCCUCACACUGGCCUCUACAUCCAGCUCAUGCCUCACGGUGGCCUCUCCAGGCCCAGCUCCUGUCCCAGGACGUCAUCUCCAGGCCCAAAACUUCCUCAAGUCAGCCUCUCUAGUCCCAACUGCUGCCUCCUGGUGGCCUAUGAAGGCCCCAAAUCUCCUCAAGUUGACCUCUCCAGGCCCAGCUCCUGCUUCCUGUCAGCGUCUACAGGCCCAACCUCUGUCUCAUGGCGGCUUCUCCAGGCCCAGCUCUUCCUCUUGGCUGAGUCUACAGGCACAACUGCUGCCUCACAACUGCUGCCUCACAACAGCCUUUUUUGGCCCAGUUCCUGUCCAGCUCACGGCGGCCAAUGUAGGCCCAAAACUUCCUCAAGUAAAACUCUCCAGGCCCACCUUCUGCUUCCCGGUGGCAUGGACAGGCCCAGCUUUGACUUGAGAACAGCCUCUGCAGGCCCUGCUCUUACCUCUCAGGGGCUUCUCCAGGCCCAGCUCUUGUCUCAUGGCAGCUGCCCCAGGCCAAGUUUCUGCCUGCCUGCCAGCAGCCUCAACAGGCACAGCUCCUCCCUCACAGUGGCCCAUUUAGGCCCAACUCAUGACUGUCGGGCCAUUUCCAGGCCUAGUGCCUGCCUCCUGGCUGACUCUCGAAGCCCAAAACUUCCUGAAAUUAGCCUUUUGCUCAACUUCUGUGUACUGUCGGACUAUACAGGCAAGCCUCUGCCUCACAGUGGACCCUCCAGACCCAGAUGGUGUCUCACUGUGGCAUCCUCAGGCGAAGCUCCUGCCUUUUGGCAGCCUCUACGGGCCCAGCUCCUGCCUUGCAAUGGCCUCUUUAGGCCAAGCUCAUGCCCCAUGGCGACUUUUCCAGGCACAGCUUUUGCCUUUUGCAGCCUGUCCAGGCCCAGAAUGUGCUUAACUCGGCAUCGCCAGGACAAGCUCAUCCUCCUGGUGCGUCUACAGGCCCGUCUCCUGCCUCACAACAACCUCCUUUGGCCCAACUCCUGCUGAGCUGCUGGCAGCCUCUGUAGGCCACAGACUUCUUAAAGUAAAGCUUUCCAGGCCCACCUUCGGCCUCCCGGCAGCCUCAGCAAUCAAACUAUUCCCUCACUGCAGCCAAGUUUCUCCCUGCCUCACGGCAUCCUCCGAAAACUGAGCAUUUGCCUCAUGGUGGCCUCCCCAGGCCACGAAUCUGCCUGCCUCCAAGGCAGCUGCUGCCUCACAAUGGUCUCUUUAGGCCGAGCUCAUGCUAGAAGAUGGACUCUCCAGGCACAGCUCUUGCCUCCUGGCAGCCUCUGCAGGCCCAAAUUCUCCAAAAGUUGGCCUCUCCUAACUCAGCUCCUGCCUCAUGUCGGCCUACACAGGCCCAGACUCUUACCACACAGUAGACCCUCCAGGCCCACCACUUGCCUGAGCAUAGCCUCCUAAGGCCAAGCUCCUGCCUUUCAGCAGCCUCUACAGGCCCAGCUCCUGCCUCGCAAUUGCCUUUGUAGGCCAAGAUCGUGCCGCGAAGUGGCCUUUCCUAGCCUAACUUUUGCUUUUUGACGCAUACUCCAGUCCCAAAACUUCCUCCAGUCAGCCAGUCCAGGCCAAGCUCUUCCUCCCAAAGGCUUCUGCAGGCCAAAAUCAUUCUGAAGUCACCCUCUGCAGGCCCAGCUCCUGCCUCCAAGUGCUGUGUAGGCCAAGCUAAUGCCUCACAGCACACUUUCCAGGCUGAGCAUUUCCUUUUGUGCAUACUCUCCAAGCCCUGAACUUACUCUAGUUGGCCUCUCCAGGCCAAGCUCUCCCUCCCAGUGGCCUCUACAGGCCAAAAUUGUUCUCAAAUCAGCCUCUCCAGGGCCAACUCCUAGCUACCGGUGGCUUCUGCACACCAAAAUCGACCUCAAGUCAGCCUCUCCACACCCAGCUCUUGCCUCUAAGUGACCUCUGCAGGAGCAAAACUUCAAGUCGGCCUCUCCAGGCCCAGCCUCCUGCUUCCCGAGGGCAUGUACAGGCCCAGCCUCUGCCUCACAGCAGACUCUCCACGCCCAGCUCUUCCCUGUCUGUGGCCUCUCCAGUCCAAAGCUGUUCCUGCCUUUAGGCAGCUUGUACAGGCCCAGCUCCUCCGUCACGGUGGUCUCUUUCGGCCCAACUCAUGCCUCUUGCAACCUACCCAACUGUCAGUUCCUGCCUCACACUGGCCUGUUGAGGCCCAGCUCAUGCCUCUUGUGGCCUCAACGGGCACAGCCCCUGCCUGACGGUGGCCUCUACAGGCCCGGAGUCUACCUCACAGUGGGCUCUCCAGGCCCAUCUCUUCCUAACUGUGGCCUCCUGGGGCAAUGCUCCUCCCUCUCAGGAGCCUCUGCGGGCCCAGCUCCUGCCUCCCAGUGGCCUCUGUAGGCGAAGCCUGUGCCUCAGGGCAGCCUUUCCAGGCCUAGCAUUUGCUGCUUUGCAUCCUCUCCAGGCCCUGGACUUCCUCCAGUCGGCCUCUCCAGGCCGAGCUCUUCCUCCCGGCGGCCUCUGCAGGCCCAGACUGUCAAGUCAGCCUGUCCAGAGCCAACUCCUGCCUCCUGGCAGGCUCUGCAGGCCCAAGUCAUCCUCAAGUCGGCCUCCCUAGGCCUAACUCCGGCCUCUCGGCGGCCUCUCCAGUUGCAAAAGUUCCUCGAGUCAGCCUCUCCAGGCCCAGCUCCUCCUGUCUCCCAGUGGCCUCUUUCGGCCCAGCCCAGCUCAUGCCUCCCGGCGGCCUUUCCAGGCCCCGCUUUUGACUUUCGGCGGCCUCUGCAGGCCCCGAACUUGACGUCCAGUCAGCCUCUCCAGGCUCGGCCUCCUGCCUCCCAAAGGCUUGCACAGGUCCAGCCUCUGCCUCACAGUGGACUCUCCACGAAUAGCUCGCUCUCGCCUCACUGCGGCCUCCCGAGUCCAAAGCUCCUGCCUCUCGGCCGCUUCGGCAGGCCCAGCUCCCGCCUGCCAGUGGCCUCUUCAGGCCCAUGGGGCUCAUUCCUCACAACGGCCUUUCCAGGCCCAGUUUUUCCCUUCCGGCGGCCUCUCCGGGCCCAGAAGCUCCUCAAGUCGGCCUCUCCAGACCCACUUGCAGCCUCCCGGCGUCCUCUCCGGGCCCAGCUCUUCCUCCCGGCUGCGUCUGCAGGCCCGACUCCUGCCUCCCAACAACCUCUUUGGACUCAGCGCCUGCCCAGCUCCCGCCGGCCUUUGUAGACCCUGAACUUUCUCCAGCGAAGCUCCUCAGGCCUACCUCCUGCCUCCCGGUGGCCUGUACAGGCCCAGCUCUGGCUGGAGAACAGCCUCUGCAGGCCCCGCUCUUGCCUCCCAGGGGCGUCUCCAGGCCCAGUUCUUGCCUCACGGCGGCCUCCCGGGACCAAGUCCCUGCCUGCCUCCCGGCAGCCCGCGUGCAGUCCAGCUCCUCCAUCACGGUGGCCUGUUGAGGCCCAACUCAUGCCUCUGGCACCCUUUGCAGAGGCAUGAGCCCCUGCCUCACACUGGCCUCUCUCACGCUGAGGGAGGUCAGCGUGAGCCCUUGCCUCACACUGGCCUCUCUCACGCUGAGAGAAGUCCUCCCUCACACUGGCCUGUUGAGGCCCAGCUCAUGCCUCUGUUGGCCUCUCCAGGCCCAGGCCCUGCCUGUUGGCGGCCUCUAGAGGCCCAGCCUCUACCUCAACAGUGGGCCCUCCAUGCCCACCUCUUGCCUCGCCGUGGCCUCCUCGGGCCAGGCUCCCGCCUUGGGGUGGCCCCCGCAGGCCCAGCUCCUGCCUCACGGCCCUCCGGAGGCCAAGCUCAUGCAUCAGGGUGGCCUCUCCUGGCCUGGCGUUUGCUCCUUUGCAUGGGCUCCAGGCCCUGCAUUUCCUCCAGUCGGCCUCUCCAGGCCCAGCUCUUCCUCCCGGCAGCCUCUGCAGGACCAGACUGUCGUCAAGUAGGCCUGUCCAGGGACAGCUCCUGCCUCCCGGCGGCCUCUGUAGGCCCAGACUGUCAUCAAGUAGGCCUGUCCAAGGACAGCUCCUGCCUCCUGGCAGCCUCUGUAGGCCCAAGUCGUCCUCAAGUCGGCCUCCCCAGGCCCAGCUCCGGCCUCUCGGCGGCCUCUCCAAGUGCAAAAGUUCCUCGAGUCCGUCUCUCCAGGCCCAGCUCCUCCUGUCUCCCAGUGGCCUCUUUCGGCCCAGCCCAGCUCAUGCCUCCCGGCGGCCUUCCCAGGCCCCACUUUUGACUUUCCGCGGCCUCUGCAGGCCCCGAACUUGUCCUCCAGUCAGCCUCUCCAGGCCCGGCCUCCUGCCUGUUGGUAGCCACUAGAGGCCCAGCCUCUACCUCAACAGUGUGCCCUCCAGGCCCACUUCUUGCCUCGCCGUGGCCUCCUCGGGCCAGGCUCCCACCUCGGGGCGGCCUCUGCAGGCCCAGCUCCUGCCUCACAGAGGCCCUCUGGAGGCCAAGCUCAUGCGUCGAGGCGGCCUCUCCCGGCCUGGCGUUUGCUCCUUUGCAUGGGCUCCAGACCCUGCACUUCCUCCAGUCGGCCUCUCCAGGCCCAGCUCUUCUUCCCAGCAGCCUCUGCAGGACCAGACUGUCGUCAAGUAGGCCUGUCCAGGGACAGCUCCUGCCUCCUGGCAGCAUCUGUAGGCCCAGACUGUCAUCAAGUAGGCCUGUCCAGGGACAGCUCCUGCCUCUUGGUGGCCUCUGCAGGCCCAAAUCGUCCUCCCCAGGCCCAGCUCCGGCCUCUCGGCGGCCUCUCCAGGUGCAAAAGUUCCUCGAGUCAGUCUCUCCAGGCCCAGCUCCUCCUGUUUCCCAGUGGCCUCUUUCGGCCCAGCCCAGUUCAUGCCUCCCGGCGGCCUUCCCAGGCCCCGCUUUUGACUUUCCGUGGCCUCUGCAGAUUCCGAACUUGACCUCCAGUCGGCCUCUCCAGGCCCGGCCUCCUGCCUUCCGAAGGCCUGCACAGGCCCAGUCUCUGCCUCACAGCGGACUCUCCACGCCCAGCUAGCUCUUGCCUCACUGCAGCCUCCCGAGUCCAAAGCUCCUGCCUCUCGGCCACUUUGGCAGGCCCAGCUCCCACCUGCCAGUGGCCUCUUCAGGCCCAGCCCUCCGAUGGCGUCUCCAGGCCCUGAACAGCCUCCAGUCGGUGGGCUCUUCUAUGCCCAGCUUGGGCCUCCCGGCGGCCUCUGCUGGCCCAAAUCGUCCUGAAGUUGUCCUCUCCAGGCCCAGCUCCGGCCUCCCGGCGGCCUCUCCAGGCGCAACGCGUCGUCAACGAGGGCCCCUCCAGGGCCAGCUCCUGCCUCUCGUCGGCCUCUAGAGGCCCAGCCUCUGCCUCCCGCAUGGCGGCCUCUGUAGGCCCAGACUGCCCUUGAGUCAGGCUCUCCAGGGCCAGCUCCAGCCUCCCGGCAGACUCUGCAGGCCCAAGUCAUCCUCAAGUCGGCCUGGAAGUGGGCCUGGAAGAGCUGCACGUUGGCCUCCCCGGGCCCAGCUCCGUCCUCUCGGCGGCCUCUCCAGGUGCAAAACUUCCUCGAGUCAGCCUCUCCAGGUCCAGCUCCUCCUGCCUCCCAGUGGCCUCUUUCAGCCCAGCCCAGCUCGUGGCUGUAGGCAGCCUUCCCAGGCCCUGCUUUUGACUUUUGGCGGCCUCUUCAGGCCCAGAACUUGAUCUCCAGUCAGCUUUUGCAGGCCCGGCAUCCUGCCUCCCGAAGGCCUGCACGGGCCAGGCCUCGGCCUCACAGCGGACUCUCCACGCCCAGCUAGCUCUCGCCUCACUGUGGCCUCCCCAGUCCAAAGCUCCUGCCUCUCGGCCGCUUCAGCAGGCCCAGCUCCCGCCUGCCAGUGGCCUCUUUAGGCCCAGCUCAUUCCUCACAAUGGCCUUUCCAGGCCCCGUUUUUCCCUUCUGGCAGCCUCU